rnacentral:tRNA from 6 species
AUAGCCGGGAUAGCUCAGUUGGUAGAGCAGAGGACUGAAAAUC